UUCCCGUGCGGUGAUGGAGUUCACCAUGUAACCGCCCCCAGGGCUGAUGACUCCUCUGUUGCU
rnacentral:ncRNA from 2 species